ACUUGGUAGCUUAUAUCCUCUAAAAGUCGCUUAACUGUGGCUCUGGGGGGUGGACGCUACCUGUUGUUGCACUGACUGCGUUGAUUGUGCUUUCCGAACAGUAUAGUGUUGCCCACUUUGUGGUGUCUUGCUUUCUGGGAGGUUUGUCAUAAUUAACGUAAAGCCAAUUCCCUUUGGAGUCAGUGUGAAAGUUAACCACCUUUCCGACCCGUCUUGAAACACGGACCGAGGAGUGUAAUUUAUACGCGAGUCAAGGGGUGGUGAAAACCCUAGGGGCGGAAUGAAAGUAAAGGCCGGUUAACCGGUUGACAUGGGAUCCGCUCUUCGGAGCGGCGCACCAUGGCCCUGUCUUGUCUGCUUGCAGAUGGGCAGCGGUAGAGCGUAUAGUUUGCGACCCGAAAGAUGGUGAACUAUGCUUGAGCAGGACGAAGCCAGAGGAAACUCUGGUGGAAGUCCGUAUCGGUUCUGACGUGCAAAUACGAUCGAUAGACUUGGGUAUAGGGGCGAAAGACUAAUCGAACCGUCUAGUAGCUGGUUCCCUCCGAAGUUUCCCCCAGGAUAGCUGGAGUAGUGGUGCGUGGUUAUAUCCGGUAAAGCGAAUGAUUAGAGGACUUGGGGGCGAAACGAUCUCAACCUAUUCUCAAACUUUCAAUGGGUAUGAUGUCUCGGUUUCUUUAUUGAACUGUUGACAUGAACGUGUGCUCCAAGUGGGCCAUUUUUGGUAAGCAGAACUGGCGCUGUGGGAUGAACCAAACGCUGGGUUAAGGUGCCUAACUUUUCUCUCAUGAGACCCCAUAAAAGGCGUUGGUUGAUAUAGACAGCAGGACGGUGGCCAUGGAAGUCGGUACCCGCUAAGGAGUGUGUAACAACUCACCUGCCGAAUCAACUAGCCCUGAAAAUGGAUGGCGCUUGAGCGAAAGACCUAUACCCGGCCGUUACUGGCUUGUGCGAUGGCUAACGCCUGGCCGUAACGAGUAGGAGGGUCGUGGUGGUUGACGUUGAAGGCUUUA
rnacentral:ncRNA from 1 species